rnacentral:lncRNA from 1 species
AUGAGAGCAAUUUCCAUCGCUUCUCGACUCUAUUGUUAUCUUUUCCAUCUGAACUUUGUACUCCAUCUUGAGUUUGUUGUUAUGUUGUAUUAGCGUUAUAUCUUUUUCAUGAUUAUCCACAAGUGUGUGGCGGUAUAGAGAUUAAGAUAUGUGGCGGUUUUGAAACUCUAUUUUUCUAUUAUUCCUGAAAUCAGAACCUUGGUUGUUUUGUGUUUACAUGCUCUUUUGGAUUUGGG